rnacentral:rRNA from 1 species
UAUGUUAACACAUGCAAGUCGAACGAAAAUUCGUUUUUUCGUGGCGCACGGGUGAGUAAUAGCAGAAUCUUACCUUCCAAUCCAGUAACAAAAUUUACUCAAGUAAAUUAAAAUUCUGAUGAAAUUGAGGUUAAAUCUCGUAAGGUUAAUUCCGUUGGAAGAUAGAUCUGUAAAAGAUUAGGUUGUUGGUAGGUUAAAAGCUUACCAAGCCGAUGAUCUUUAGUUGGUUUUAGAGAAUGAUCAACCACACUGGAACUGAAAUAAGGUCCAGGCUUGAUACCGUCGGCCAGCAGUGGAGAAUAUUGGACAAUGAACGAAAGUUUGAUCCAGCAAUACUACCUGGGUGAUGACGGCUUAUUUAAGUUGUAAGAUCCUUUAAUUAAAGAAGAUAAUGACAUUAUUUAAUUGAAUUUUAGUCCUGGCUAAUACUCGUGCCAGCAGCCGCGGUAAUCGGGAAGGGCAAGCGUUAUUCGGCAUAAUUGGGCGUAAAGAGUCCGUAGAUUGCAAAGUAAGUUUUUUGUUAAAUUUUAAGACUCAAUCUUAAACCUGCAACUAAUACUUGCUUUGCUUGAGUUUAAUACAGAAAAGUAGAAUUUUAUACGAAGGGGUAAAAUCCGUAGAUAUAUAAAGGAAUGUCGACAGCGAAGGCAACUUUUUAGUAUAAACUGACCGUUGAGGGACCGAAAGCCGUGGGUAGCAAAUAGGAUUAGAGACCCUAGUAGUCCACGCCGUAAAUUCUGAAUGCUGUAAUUUAAUUGUAAUAUUUUUUCAUUAUUACUUAGAUUUUCAAGCUAACGCAAUAAGCAUUCCGCCUGAGGAGUACGAUCGCAAGAUUAGAACUCAAAGGAAUUGACGGGGGUUUAAUACUAGUGGUGGAGCAUGUGGUUUAAUGCGAUAAUCCGCGCAAAAUCUUACCAAUUCUUGACAUAUUUAAAUAAUUGUAUAUAUUAAUACGGUUUUCGUUUACAAUAUUUUUUAAACAGGUGUUGCACGACUGUCGUCAGCUCGUGUUGUGAGACGUCUGAUUAAGUUCUGAAACGGGCGUAACUCUUGCUUUUUAUUAAGUUUUUACAGAUUAAGGUUUUCACUGUGUAGGAAAAUCUUUAGACGCUUUAAAAGUACGGUCAAUGAUAAAUUGAAGGAAGGCAAGAAUGAAGUCAAGUCAAUGUGACCCUAAUGAAUUGGGCUACACACGUGCUACAAUGAAAAUUACAAAAAGUGACAAAAAAGAAAUUUUGAGUUAAUCAACAAAAGUUUUCCUAGUUCGGAUUGUAAACUGCAACUCGUUUACAUGAAGCUGGAAUCACUAGUAAUCGCAAAUCAGCACGUUGCGGUGAACAUGUAACUUGACCUUGUACAUACCGCCCGUCACUUGCAAAGAAUCAGUUUCGCUUGAAGGUUUUAAUAAAACCCAUUGA